GGAACGGUAGUUCGGUUGGUUAAGAAUACCUGUCACGCAGGGUCGCGAGUUCGGUCCCGUCCGUUCCGCCA
rnacentral:tRNA from 1 species